rnacentral:rRNA from 1 species
GUGAGUAAUGCCUAGGAUCUGCCUGGUAGUGGGGGAUAACGCUCGGAAACGGACGCUAAUACCGCAUACGUCCUACGGGAGAAAGCAGGGGACCUUCGGGCCUUGCGCUAUCAGAUGAGCCUAGGUCGGAUUAGCUAGUUGGUGAGGUAAUGGCUCACCAAGGCGACGAUCCGUAACUGGUCUGAGAGGAUGAUCAGUCACACUGGAACUGAGACACGGUCCAGACUCCUACGGGAGGCAGCAGUGGGGAAUAUUGGACAAUGGGCGAAAGCCUGAUCCAGCCAUGCCGCGUGUGUGAAGAAGGUCUUCGGAUUGUAAAGCACUUUAAGUUGGGAGGAAGGGCAGUUACCUAAUACGUGAUUGUUUUGACGUUACCGACAGAAUAAGCACCGGCUAACUCUGUGCCAGCAGCCGCGGUAAUACAGAGGGUGCAAGCGUUAAUCGGAAUUACUGGGCGUAAAGCGCGCGUAGGUGGUUUGUUAAGUUGGAUGUGAAAUCCCCGGGCUCAACCUGGGAACUGCAUCCAAAACUGGCAAGCUAGAGUAUGGUAGAGGGUGGUGGAAUUUCCUGUGUAGCGGUGAAAUGCGUAGAUAUAGGAAGGAACACCAGUGGCGAAGGC